UAGAAGCUAUUCUUCCUAACUAAUGAAGCCACUGCUAUCGCAUAAAGAUGCCAGUGCCCCUCUCCUGCUCCUGAAGAACCUAAUGAAGAGUUGAAAAGCCAACUGAGCAGAAGCUGGUACCAGAGUAUGGAGCAAUGCUGUGCUCACAAGAGUCUACGCAGAUUCUUCCUGAAGCCAGUGGGUUUUGAGAUACAUCCAUCGGUAAAAUACUUGUCACAGGCAUUGUUUGGAUAAAAUUACCUGACCUCAGCUGGGUGUGGUGGCGCACGCCUGUAAUCC